rnacentral:rRNA from 1 species
GACGUAGGAGGCGAGCGUUGUCCGGAUUCAUUGGGCGUAAAGAGCACGUAGGCGGUUUGGCAAGUCGGAUGUGAAAACCCGAAGCUCAACUUCGGGCCUGCAUCCGAAACUGCCCGACUAGAGGUAGGUAGGGGAGAUCGGAAUUCCUGGUGUGGCGGUGAAAUGCGCAGAUAUCAGGAGGAACACCGGUGGCGAAGGCGGAUCUCUGGGCCUUACCUGACGCUCAGGUGCGAAAGCUAGGGGAGCGAACAGG